rnacentral:rRNA from 1 species
CAGUCGACGAUGAAGCCCUUCGGGGUGGAUUAGUGGCGAACGGGUGAGUAACACGUGGGCAAUCUGCCCUUCACUCUGGGACAAGCCCUGGAAACGGGGUCUAAUACCGGAUACCACUCCUGCCCGCAUGGGCGGGGGUUGAAAGCUCCGGCGGUGAAGGAUGAGCCCGCGGCCUAUCAGCUUGUUGGUGGGGUAAUGGCCCACCAAGGCGACGACGGGUAGCCGGCCUGAGAGGGCGACCGGCCACACUGGGACUGAGACACGGCCCAGACUCCUACGGGAGGCAGCAGUGGGGAAUAUUGCACAAUGGGCGAAAGCCUGAUGCAGCGACGCCGCGUGAGGGAUGACGGCCUUCGGGUUGUAAACCUCUUUCAGCAGGGAAGAAGCGAAAGUGACGGUACCUGCAGAAGAAGCGCCGGCUAACUACGUGCCAGCAGCCGCGGUAAUACGUAGGGCGCAAGCGUUGUCCGGAAUUAUUGGGCGUAAAGAGCUCGUAGGCGGCUUGUCACGUCGGAUGUGAAAGCCCGAGGCUUAACCUCGGGUCUGCAUUCGAUACGGGCUAGCUAGAGUGUGGUAGGGGAGAUCGGAAUUCCUGGUGUAGCGGUGAAAUGCGCAGAUAUCAGGAGGAACACCGGUGGCGAAGGCGGAUCUCUGGGCCAUUACUGACGCUGAGGAGCGAAAGCGUGGGGAGCGAACAGGAUUAGAUACCCUGGUAGUCCACGCCGUAAACGUUGGGAACUAGGUGUUGGCGACAUUCCACGUCGUCGGUGCCGCAGCUAACGCAUUAAGUUCCCCGCCUGGGGAGUACGGCCGCAAGGGCUAAAACUCAAAGGAAUUGACGGGGGCCCG